AUUGUGUGUGUAUCUCUGUAGUUAAGUGUGUGUGUGUGUGUGUGUGUGUAUAUAUAUAUACACACACACACACACACACACUCUUAACUACGUGUAUCUG